CGCUGCUACCACAUGGUAGUAUUUUAGGUCCCCGUCACGGACCUGUCGGCAGGCGAAAUGUGCCUCCACGUGUGCGAACCAUGCCUCCGCGGCGUGCUCCCAGAAUUCCGGCAGCUUUAUGAAAAGCGUGACUCAUUUAAUUACAGACAGGCCAGUGUGCGAAAAAGUGCACGUCCCACCGUCCGGGACGGGUUAUUCACAACAUUGGACAAGUAGAUUUUUAAAUUGACUUGUCCAAUGGACAAGUGACAUUUUUCGCCGCUAUUUAUUGACAAAUUAUUGAUAAAUUCAGCUUACAAAAGGCAUAACUCAUUCGCAAAUUGUCCGUGUCCGCCGUUGUUGUUUGCAACCGCUUUACGUUUUUUUACUCACUUACGUCGUGUCGUAAAACUGUGUGAAAAUGAAAUACGAUGGCGAAGAAGAAGGUUCUAGUGGCCCCAAGAGGGCAACAAAAGAUUUCUUUCUUUUCUAAGAAGGUUUGUACACAUCAUUCUCACAGUUGUAAAAUGGUGUGUUACAUUAACAAGGAAAAUAAUU